rnacentral:rRNA from 1 species
UGAACGCUGGCGGUAGGCCUAACACAUGCAGGUCGACCGGCAGCACAGUAAGAGCUUGCUCUUACGGGUGGCGAGUGGCGGACGGGUGAGGAAUACAUCGGAAUCUACUUUUUCGUGGGGGAUAACGUAGGGAAACUUACGCUAAUACCGCAUACGACCUACGGGUGAAAGCAGGGGAUCUUCGGACCUUGCGCGAUUGAAUGAGCCGAUGUCGGAUUAGCUAGUUGGCGGGGUAAAGGCCCACCAAGGCGACGAUCCGUAGCUGGUCUGAGAGGAUGAUCAGCCACACUGGAACUGAGACACGGUCCAGACUCCUACGGGAGGCAGCAGUGGGGAAUAUUGGACAAUGGGCGCAAGCCUGAUCCAGCCAUACCGCGUGGGUGAAGAAGGCCUUCGGGUUGUAAAGCCCUUUUGUUGGGAAAGAAAAGCAGCAGGUUAAUACCCCGCUGUUCUGACGGUACCCAAAGAAUAAGCACCGGCUAACUUCGUG